rnacentral:sRNA from 2 species
CGAACUUCCCGUUAGGUGAGGCUCCUGUGCGAAUACAAGCCACUGCCCGGAAAUGUCGAGAGACACCAAUGGGUUAACAGGUUUUACCGGAUUAAGGUGGAAUCUAAUGUGGCUGGAAUUUAAGUUCCAAAGUCGCUCAGUGCUAAAACCGAUGACGAGGGGAAAAUAU